AUACUCACCUCGAAGCACAUAAACUAAAAUCGGACACAGAGAGGAUUAGCAUAGCCCCUGCACAAGAAUGACAUGCAAAUUCCAAAUUUGGGGGAUACUGGG